UACGUAGGGUGCAAGCGUUGUCCGGAAUUAUUGGGCGUAAAGAGCUCGUAGGCGGUCUGUCGCGUCGGCUGUGAAAUCCCGAGGCUCAACCUCGGGUCUGCAGUCGAUACGGGCAAACUGGAGUGUUGCAGGGGAGACUGGAAUUCCUGGUGUAGCGGUGAAAUGCGCAGAUAUCAGGAGGAACACCGGUGGCGAAGGCGGGUCUCUGGGCAUUAACUGACGCUGAGGAGCGAAAGCAUGGGGAGCGAACAGG
rnacentral:rRNA from 1 species